AGAACGGUGGAGAAAAGAUGGUCUUGUUGUAACUCAUCUACCUCAACCUGUCUGUGGAGAAGGAGUAAACCCCUAAAUCAUCUUUGGAGGAGCAUUCUAUAUGAGGGGCUUGCAUCAGAUGUGAGGAAUCCCUGAUUCCUUGUGUGGAUGGAUUCAUUCCCACUCAGCUGCAUUCAUCAAGCCUUCUUCAAGCCCUUAACAGAUUCGAGUUGGAUGGAAGAACUCUGACUCAGAGUAAAGACUGGAGGACAGACACUUGAGGAGAGGCUGGAAGAGGAACUCAACCCUGGAGGAACUUGUGCAGGAGACCUCAGACUGCUUUCCUUUAAGAAGAAGAAGGGAUCACAAAAGAGUCACUGUACAGUGCCAAGAAGCACAAAGUCAAAGAGACAACCAAUUCCCAUUGGACUGAUGAGAAUGUAUUGCAAGACAGAAGACUUGUUUAAGGUUCAAGGAAGCAGCUGCUUCACAACAUCAAAUGCUGGACUCCCCCAUGCCACAUUCCAACAAGCAGCUUAGUUGGACUUUCAUUCUGGCUCCCCUAUCCCUGAUAUUAAAGAGAAAGAAGCAAGAAGCAAAUAUGAGGAAUGAGAAACCAAUAGAGAAGAGAUCCCAUUGCAAAAUCUUUCUCCUUCAUCACCACCCUUCCACAAACCCUUUCUGACUAUCUGUAGUCAGCCAAAGGAUGAAGAAAGUCAGUCUCCUAAAGGAGGUUGGAGCACAGAAGAGUUGAAUUGGAAAAGGUUGUCCUCACUUCUUAGAGAGGUUGUGUACGCCAGAGACAAUAUGGGAUGACCAAAUUAACAUAUGCAGCCCUGAGAACCUGAAACAUUACUAGCACAAGAGCUACUGGAAUGGUGGAUGCAGCAGGAUUAAGGGCAGGUCCUAGAAUUAGCUUGAACCUGCAUACUUUUUUCUCCUGUCUCUUAUAGGACUAUUGAAUAAAUAAAAACCAUAGUAAUUACUAAUAUUUAU